rnacentral:rRNA from 1 species
AUGCUCUACAUUUCUGUGUUGAUCCUGCCGGACCUGACUGCUAUCGGAUUGGUACUAAGCCAUGCGAGUCGUUGUAGCAAUACAAGGCGGACUGCUCAGUAACACGUAGUUAACUUAACCUAUGGAUGGGAAUAACCUCGGGAAACUGAGAAUAAUACCCAAUGGGCCACAGUGCCUGGAAUGGCCUGUGGUUGAAAUGAUUUAUCGCCGUAGGAUAGGACUGCGGCCUAUCAGCUUGUUGGUGAGGUAAUGGCCCACCAAGGCUAUAACAGGUACGGGCUCUGAGAGGAGGGGCCCGGAGAUGGGUACUGAGACACGGACCCAGGCCCUAUGGGGCGCAGCAGGCGAGAAACCUUUGCAAUGUGCGAAAGCACGACAAGGUUAAUCCGAGUGUCUCCUGCUAAAGGAGUCUUUUGUCAGUUGUAGAAUCACUGGUGAAUAAGGGGUGGGCAAGUUCUGGUGUCAGCCGCCGCGGUAAAACCAGCACCUCGAGUGGUCAGGAGGUUUAUUGGGCCUAAAGCAUCCGUAGCCGGUUGCAUAAGUUUUCGGUUAAAUCUAUGCGCUUAAGUAUAGGCCGCGAAAAUCUGUUGCGCUAGGAGUGGGAGA